rnacentral:rRNA from 1 species
CCUACGGGAGGCAGCAGUGGGGAAUAUUGGGCAAUGGGCGCAAGCCUGACCCAGCAAUGCCGCGUGAAGGAAGAAGGCUUUCGGGUUGUAAACUUCUUUGACAGGGGAAGAGCAGAAGACGGUACCCUGAAAACAAGCCACGGCUAACUACGUGCCAGCAGCCGCGGUAAUACGUAGGUGGCAAGCGUUGUCCGGAUUUACUGGGUGUAAAGGGCGGGUAGCCGGGAAGGCAAGUCAGAUGUGAAAUCUGGAGGCUCAACCUCCAAAUUGCAUUUGAAACUGUUUCUCUUGAGUACUGGAGAGGCAGACGGAAUUCCUUGUGUAGCGGUGAAAUGCGUAGAUAUAAGGAGGAACACCAGUGGCGAAGGCGGUCUGCUGGACAGCAACUGACGGUGAGGCGCGAAAGCGUGGGGAGCAAACAGGAUUAGAUACCCGAGUAGUG